UAUUUAACUCAGCCAUUUUAUUUUUAUAGCGAAAAUGACUUUAUUCAACAAAUCAUAAAGAUAUUGGAACAUUAUAUUUUAUUUUUGGAAUUUGAGCAGGAAUAGUAGGUACUUCUUUAAGUUUAUUAAUUCGAGCUGAAUUAGGAACUCCAGGAUCUUUAAUUGGAGAUGAUCAAAUUUAUAAUACUAUUGUAACAGCCCAUGCUUUUAUUAUAAUUUUUUUUAUAGUUAUACCAAUUAUAAUUGGAGGAUUUGGAAAUUGACUUGUACCUUUAAUAUUAGGAGCUCCUGAUAUAGCUUUCCCACGUAUAAAUAAUAUAAGUUUUUGACUUUUACCCCCAUCUUUAACUUUAUUAAUUUCUAGUAGCAUUGUAGAAAAUGGAGCAGGAACUGGAUGAACAGUUUACCCCCCUCUCCUCUAAUAUUGCUCAUGGUGGUAGUUCAGUAGAUUUAGCUAUUUUCUCACUUCAUUUAGCUGGAAUUUCAUCUAUUUUAGGAGCUAUUAACUUUAUUACCACUAUUAUUAAUAUACGAUUAAAUAAUUUAUCAUUUGAUCAAAUACCUUUAUUUAUUUGAGCUGUAGGUAUUACCGCAUUUUUAUUAUUAUUAUCUUUACCUGUUUUAGCUGGAGCUAUUACUAUAUUACUUACUGAUCGAAAUCUAAAUACAUCAUUUUUCGAUCCUGCAGGAGGAGGUGAUCCUAUUCUUUAUCAACAUUUAUUUUGAUUUUUUGGACAUCCUGAAGUAUAUAUUUUAAUUUUACCGGGAUUUGGUAUAAUUUCUCACAUUAUUUCUCAAGAAAGAGGUAAAAAGGAAACAUUUGGAUGUUUAGGUAUAAUUUAUGCUAUAUUAGCAAUUGGUUUAUUAGGAUUUAUUGUUUGAGCUCAUCAUAUAUUUACUGUAGGAAUAGAUAUUGAUACACGAGCAUAUUUUACAUCUGCAACAAUAAUUAUUGCUGUACCAACAGGUAUUAAAAUUUUUAGUUGAUUAGCUACUUUCCAUGGAACUCAAAUCAAUUAUUCCCCAUCUAUUUUAUGAAGAUUAGGAUUUGUAUUUUUAUUUACUGUAGGGGGAUUAACAGGUGUAAUUUUAUCUAAUUCUUCUAUUGAUAUUACUUUACAUGAUACUUACUAUGUAGUUGCUCAUUUCCACUAUGUUUUAUCAAUAGGAGCUGUAUUUGCUAUUUUAGGUGGAUUUAUUCACUGAUAUCCAUUAUUUACUGGAUUAUCUUUAAAUCCUUAUAUAUUAAAAAUUCAAUUUUUUAUUAUAUUUAUCGGAGUAAAUUUAACUUUCUUCCCACAACAUUUUUUAGGAUUAGCAGGUAUACCUCGUCGAUAUUCUGAUUAUCCUGAUUCUUAUAUUUCAUGAAAUAUUAUUUCAUCAUUAGGAUCAUAUAUUUCAUUAUUAGCAAUUAUAUUUAUAUUAAUUAUUAUUUGAGAAUCUAUAAUUAAUCAACGAAUUUCUUUAUUUACUUUAAAUUUAUCUUCUUCAAUUGAAUGAUAUCAAAAUUUACCACCAGCUGAACAUUCAUAUAAUGAAUUGCCUAUUUUAAGUAACUUCUAAUAUGGCAGAUUAUAUGUAAUGGAUUUAAACCCCAUUUAUAAAGGAAUUAUCCUUUUUUUAGAAAUGGCAACAUGAUCUAAUCUUAAUUUACAAAAUAGAGCAUCUCCUUUAAUAGAACAAAUUAUUUUCUUUCACGAUCACACUUUAAUUAUUUUAAUUAUAAUUACAAUUCUAGUAGGAUAUUUAAUAUCAAGCUUAUUAUUUAAUAAAUAUAUUAAUCGAUUUUUAUUAGAAGGUCAAAUAAUUGAAUUAAUUUGAACUAUUUUACCAGCAAUUACAUUAAUUUUUAUUGCAUUACCUUCACUACGAUUAUUAUAUUUAUUAGAUGAACUUAAUAAUCCUUUAAUUACAUUAAAAUCAAUUGGUCAUCAAUGAUAUUGAAGUUAUGAAUAUUCAGAUUUUCAUAAUAUUGAAUUUGAUUCUUAUAUAAUUUCUACAAAUGAUAUAUCAAGUAAUAAUUUUCGUUUAUUAGAUGUUGAUAAUCGAAUUAUUUUACCUAUGAAUAACCAAAUUCGAAUUAUAGUUACUGCUACUGAUGUAAUUCACUCAUGAACCGUCCCUUCAUUAGGAGUUAAAGUAGAUGCAAAUCCAGGUCGACUAAAUCAAACAAAUUUUUUCAUUAAUCGACCUGGAAUUUUUUAUGGUCAAUGUUCAGAAAUUUGUGGAGCUAAUCAUAGUUUUAUACCAAUUGUAAUUGAAAGAAUUUCAAUUAAAAAUUUUAUUAAUUGAAUUAAUAAUUAUUCUUCAUUAGAUGACUGAAAGCAAGUACUGGUCUCUUAAACCAUUUUAUAGUAAAUUAGCAAUUACUUCUAAUGAAAGAAUUAGUUAAAAAAUAACAUAAAUAUGUCAAAUUUAAAUUAUUAUUAUAAAUAAUAUUCUUUUAUUCCACAAAUAAUACCUAUUAAUUGAUUAAUUUCUUUUUUUUUUUUUUAUUUGUAUUUUUAAUUUUUAAUAUUAUAAAUUAUUAUAUUUUUAAUAAAAAAAGAUUAAAAUCAAAUAAAAAUAUAAAUUUAAAAUUAAAAAAUUUUAAUUGAAAAUGAUAAGUAAUUUAUUUUCAAUUUUUGAUCCAUCAACAAAUUUAUUUAAUAUUUCAUUUAAUUGAAUUAGAACUAUUUUAGGAAUUAUAUUUAUUCCUUAUUCAUUUUGAUUAAUUCCUAAUCGUCAUUUCUUACUUUGAAAUUUUAUUUUAUUAAAACUUCAUAAUGAAUUUAAAACUUUAUUAAAAAAUAAUUAUUUUCAAGGAUCAACUUUUAUUUUUAUUUCAAUAUUCUCAUUUAUUUUAUUUAAUAAUUUUUUAGGUUUAUUUCCUUAUAUUUUUACUAGAACAAGACAUUUAACAUUAUCAUUAUCAAUUUCAUUACCUUUAUGAUUAAGAUUUAUAAUUUAUGGUUGAUUAAAUAAUUCUCAACAUAUAUUUAUUCAUAUAAUUCCUCAAGGAACACCAACUAUUUUAAUACCUUUUAUAGUAUUAAUUGAAACAAUUAGAAAUAUUAUUCGACCUGGAACUUUAGCAGUACGAUUAACAGCUAAUAUAAUUGCAGGACAUUUACUAAUAACUUUAUUAAGAGGAACUGGACCUUCAAUACCAAGAUAUUUUAUUAUAAUUUUAGUUAUAAUUCAAAUUUUAUUAUUAAUCUUAGAAUCAGCAGUCGCUGUAAUUCAAUCUUAUGUAAUUGCUAUUUUAAGUACUUUAUAUUCUAGAGAAGUAAAUUAAUGAAAAUAAAUUUUAAUCACCCAUUUCAUUUAGUAGAUUAUAGACCAUGACCUUUAACAGGAGCUAUUGGAGUAAUAGUUUUAGUUAGAGGAAUAGUAAAAUGAUUUCAUAAUUUUAAUAUAAAUUUAUUAAUUUUAGGAUAUUUUAUUGUAAUUUUAACCAUAUAUCAAUGAUGACGAGAUAUUUGUCGUGAAGGAACAUACCAAGGUAAACAUACAAUUUUAGUAACCAAAGGACUUCGCUGAGGAAUAAUUUUAUUUAUUGUAUCAGAAAUUUUUUUUUUAUUUCUUUUUUUUGAGCCUUUUUUCAUAGAAGAUUAGCCCCUAAUAUUGAAAUUGGAGCUAUAUGACCUCCUACUAGUAUUACACCUUUUAACCCAUUUCAAAUUCCUUUAUUAAAUACUAUUAUUUUAAUUAGAUCAGGAGUAUCAGUUACUUGAGCUCAUCAUGCAAUUAUAGAAAAUAAUAAUUCUCAAAUAACUCAAGGUUUAUUUAUUACAAUUAUUUUAGGAAUUUAUUUUACAAUUCUUCAAGCAUAUGAAUAUUUUGAAGCUCCUUUUACUAUUGCAGAUAGAGUUUAUGGCUCAACAUUUUUUAUAGCAACAGGAUUCCAUGGAUUACAUGUUAUUAUUGGUACAUUAUUUCUUUUAAUUUGCCUAAUUCGUCAUUUAAAUAAUCAUUUUUCAAGUAAUCAUCAUUUCGGAUUUGAAGCAGCAGCUUGAUAUUGACAUUUUGUAGAUGUAGUAUGAUUAUUCCUUUAUAUUUCUAUUUAUUGAUGAGGAAAUUAAUUA